GGGUUCCCCUAGCGGUGGGUGUAGACCCACCCUUUCCUUAAAAACCGGCGCAGAAAGGUGGUAGGCACACCGGAGGAGAGCCGGUCCCGGGUACUUAGGUUUCUCCUUGCAGCAUUCGUACUCUUUCCAAGUUUUCAACUGAACCUCUGAAGCAUGGGCAUUUUGCUUUCCCUCUUCUUCGUUUCUAUCUUUCUUUCUCUCUUCCUGUUAUUUAAACUCGUCACCUCAGAUGGGGAUUUCACUUUGAUGUCAAAAAGACAUGCGAAGCGCGAAGAAAUUGAAGACAAGGUUGUCUGGAUUACUGGAGCUAGCCGCGGAAUCGGGAAAACUCUUGCUAAACAACUUGCAAGAUUAGGUGCCAAGCUUAUUCUUUCUGCACGGAAUGAGGCUGAGUUGGAGCUAGUCAAGAAGCAGCUCAUGGGUAAACAUGCACCGGAUGAAGUGAAGAUUUUACCAUUCGAUUUGACAUCUGGAGAAGAUUCUCUCAAAGAGGUUGUAGAGAAAGCUGAAUCCCUUUUUCCGGGUGCUGGCAUUGAUUAUAUGAUCCAUAAUGCAGCUUUUGAGCGUCCUAAAAGUUCAGCAUUGGAUGCUACCGAGGAAAGCCUUAAGGCAACAUUCACUGUAAAUGUCCUGGGGACAAUAUCUCUUACACGGCUCCUGGUGCCUUUCAUGCUAAAGCGGGGAAGGGGCCAUUUUGUUGUGAUGAGCAGUGCUGCGGGGAAGACACCUGCACCAGGUCAGGCUGUGUACUCAGCUUCUAAAUUUGCUCUAAAUGGAUACUUUCACAGCUUGCGCUCUGAGCUCUUCCAAAAAGGAAUCAAGGUGACUAUGGUAUGUCCUGGGCCAGUUGGUACGUCGAAUGAUUCCGACGUAGAAGCCUCAGCAAAGAAGGGUUCCCCUGAGAAGCGUGUGUCAUCAGAACGAUGUGCUGAGCUCACUAUUAUUGCUGCCACCCAUGGUCUAAAGGAAGUUUGGAUAUCAUAUCAGAUUUCAAAAUUUUGAAAAAUUGAUCGAGGCAUGCAAGAAAAUUUAUCGAUUGCAGCCACAAGGCUGGCUGCUUUUGAUACUCCACAUCUCCUGGUCUCUGUGAUUUUUAUGAGAAAUCCUGUGCUUGCUGUUAUGUAUAUGGUGCAGUACAUGCCAACUGUUGGCUAUUGGCUGAUGGACAAGAUCGGUGUGAAUCGAGUAGAAGCUGCUGCGCAUAAGGGCAACACAUAUUCAUUGAGCUUACUAUUUGGGAAAAAGAAGACAGCAUAGAUAGCUCUGUCUACCCAUCUUACAGACAUUCAAUAAAUGCUAGCACUUCUGUAGCUUCUGAAUUGUUCAUGCACCAACACAAAAUCUAUAUAGUUUCGGUCAGGACACAGAUGAAGUUCCCAGGAAAGAGGCAAAGAUGGUAUCGAAGGUGAUAUUUUGUGUUGGAAGGCUUGGAGCCAUGACAUUGUGCACAAUGCUGUGACUUUAUCUGGAUAUCCCAUUUUAUAAUUGGAAAAGUCUUCUUGCAAA